AACCGCAUGGUUCAAAAGUGAAAGACGGUCUUGCUGUCACUUAUAGAUGGAUCCGCGCUGCAUUAGCUAGUUGGUAAGGUAACGGCUUACCAAGGCAACGAUGCAUAGCCGACCUGAGAGGGUGAUCGGCCACACUGGAACUGAGACACGGUCCAGACUCCUACGGGAGGCAGCAGUAGGGAAUCUUCCGCAAUGGGCGAAAGCCUGACGGAGCAACGCCGCGUGAGUGAUGAAGGUCUUCGGAUCGUAAAACUCUGUUAUUAGGGAAGAACAUAUGUGUAAGUAACUGUGCACAUCUUGACGGUACCUAAUCAGAAAGCCACGGCUAACUACGUGCCAGCAGCCGCGGUAAUACGUAGGUGGCAAGCGUUAUCCGGAAUUAUUGGGCGUAAAGCGCGCGUAGGCGGUUUUUUAAGUCUGAUGUGAAAGCCCACGGCUCAACCGUGGAGGGUCAUUGGAAACUGGAAAACUUGAGUGCAGAAGAGGAAAGUGGAAUUCCAUGUGUAGCGGUGAAAUGCGCAGAGAUAUGGAGGAACACCAGUGGCGAAGGCGACUUUCUGGUCUGUAACUGACGCUGAUGUGCGAAAGCGUGGGGAUCAAACAGGAUUAGAUACCCUGGUAGUCCACGCCGUAAACGAUGAGUGCUAAGUGUUAGGGGGUUUCCGCCCCUUAGUGCUGCAGCUAACGCAUUAAGCACUCCGCCUGGGGAGUACGACCGCAAGGUUGAAACUCAAAGGAAUUGACGGGGACCCGCACAAGCGGUGGAGCAUGUGGUUUAAUUCGAAGCAACGCGAAGAACCUUACCAAAUCUUGACAUCCUUUGACAACUCUAGAGAUAGAGCCUUCCCCUUCGGGGGACAAAGUGACAGGUGGUGCAUGGUUGUCGUCAGCUCGUGUCGUGAGAUGUUGGGUUAAGUCCCGCAACGAGCGCAACCCUUAAGCUUAGUUGCCAUCAUUAAGUUGGGCACUCUAAGUUGACUGCCGGUGACAAACCGGAGGAAGGUGGGGAUGACGUCAAAUCAUCAUGCCCCUUAUGAUUUGGGCUACACACGUGCUACAAUGGACAAUACAAAGGGCAGCGAAACCGCGAGGUCAAGCAAAUCCCAUAAAGUUGUUCUCAGUUCGGAUUGUAGUCUGCAACUCGACUACAUGAAGCUGGAAUCGCUAGUAAUCGUAGAUCAGCAUGCUACGGUGAAUACGUUCCCGGGUCUUGUACACACCGCCCGUCACACCACGAGAGUUUGUAACACCCGAAGCCGGUGGAGUAACCUUUUAGGAGCUAGCCGUCGAAGGUGGGACAAAUGAUUGGGGUGAAGUCGUAACAAGGUAGCCGUAUCGGAAGGGGCGGCUGGAUCACCUCCUUUCUAAGGA
rnacentral:rRNA from 1 species